rnacentral:rRNA from 1 species
GCGCGGCGAAGACUGGCGUCUGCGAGGACGCCGGUCCGACCCACAUAGACGCUUGUAUGUUUGACAGAGUUAGUUGACACUUUAAAAAUGACAACUUUUAACAAUGGAUCUCUUGGCUCUUGCAACGAUGAAGAACGCAGUGAAAUGCGAAACGUAAUGCGAUUUGCACGAAUCUGUGAGUCAUCAAGUCUUUGAACGCACCCUUGCACCAUAUGAGCAAUUGUAUGGUAUACCUGUUUGAGAAUCGUAAACCCACACCUCACUCUCUCCAGAGUGGAGCUGUCGGCUUAUGGCUGUUCGCACAGUCAUAUCCGAUCAAAUGGAUCAGGUCUGGAUCAGGCUAGUGGCCUGGGACACUGUGUGCUAGAGACUCACGAUCUGCCGUAACUGGCCGGUCUGUCUUCUCACGGUGCGUCCCAGGUCAUACAAGCUGGCCUGCAAAGGACCUUAACUGCGCGCGGCCGCGACCGGCAAGCCUUACAGCUUGCUCAUCGCGAUGCCGCGGCAAUCCCCCCUCUUUGAUCUCAAAUCAGGUAAGGCUACCCGCUGAACUUAA